CGUAGGGUGCGAGCGUUAAUCGGAAUUACUGGGCGUAAAGCGUGCGCAGGCGGUUUGUUAAGAUAGGCGUGAAAUCCCCGGGCUCAACCUGGGAACUGCGCUUAUGACUGGCAAGCUAGAGUACGGCAGAGGGGGGUGGAAUUCCACGUGUAGCAGUGAAAUGCGUAGAGAUGUGGAGGAACACCAAUGGCGAAGGCAGCCCCCUGGGUCGAUACUGACGCUCAUGCACGAAAGCGUGGGUAGCAAACAGGAUUAGAUACCCUGGUAGUCCACGCCCUAAACGAUGUCAACUAGGUGUUGGAUGGGUAAAAACCAUUUAGUACCGGAGCUAACGCGUGAAGUUGACCGCCUGGGGAUACGGCCGCAAGGUUA
rnacentral:rRNA from 1 species